rnacentral:rRNA from 1 species
UAUCUCUGUAGAGUCUGCAUAUCAAUAAGCGGAGGAAAAGAAACUAACAAGGAUUCCCUUAGUAACGGCGAGUGAAGCGGGAAGAGCUCAAAUUUGAAAUCUUCAAGGUUCUACCUUGACGAAUUGUAGUUUAAAGAAGUGUUUUCUGUUAGAUGAGUAGCAAAAGUUCCUUGGAAUGGGACAUCAUAGAGGGUGAGAAUCCCGUAUUUGACGUUAUUCAUUCUAGCUGUGUGAUACACUUUCAAAGAGUCGGAUUGUUUGGGAAUGCAGUCCAAAAUGGGUGGUAAAUUUCAUCUAAAGCUAAAUAUUGGCGAGAGACCGAUAGCGAACAAGUACCGUGAGGGAAAGAUGAAAAGAACUUUGAAAAGAGAGUUAAACAGUACGUGAAAUUGUCAAAAGGGAAGCGUUUGACACCAGUGUUGUUUUUCCGAAAAUCAAUUACGAAUGGCUUGAUUUUGUGUUGUAUUGACCUUAUCAGCUUUCUUCACUUUUUUCGAGUCUUUCUUAAUGCACUUUUCAGGUUAACAAGUCAACAUCAAUUUCUUUUGUUGUAAAAGAGUAUUCGGAAGGUGGCUUUCUUUUCGGAGAAAGUGUUUAUAGCCCUAUACUUCUACAAUCAGAGAGAUUGAGGUCUGCAGCGUAGAUCCUUCGGGGUUAGAUACACUUGUGCUAAGUUGUAGCUUUUCAUAGACAACUUGUUGACUAUGUUUAGUCAUGCGGCUUACUCGCUUGUGCUAUUUUACCUACGCUUAGGAUGUUGACUGAUAUGUAGUCGUA